rnacentral:misc_RNA from 1 species
UCAAACUUGGUCAUUUAGAGGAAGUACAAGUCGUAACAAGGUAUCCGUAGGUGAACCUGCGGAUGGAUCAUUACUAAAGUAUCCAUCCUACGUACUGUGAACUGUUUUGACUAUCAUAGUCAGUGCUUAGUGUACUGUAAUGGUCACUGGUGCUGGCUACACUGAAUGUAAAUUUAACUGACUGAGAGUACUUUAUAGUAACCAAUGAGAACUUUUAGCAACGGAUCUCUUGGCUCUCGCAUCGAUGAAGAACGCAGC